rnacentral:rRNA from 1 species
GUGGGGAAUAUUGGACAAUGGGGGGAACCCUGAUCCAGCCAUGCCGCGUGUGUGAAGAAGGCCUUUUGGUUGUAAAGCACUUUAAGCGAGGAGGAGGCUACCGAGAUUAAUACUCUUGGAUAGUGGACGUUACUCGCAGAAUAAGCACCGGCUAACUCUGUGUCAGCAGCCGCGGUAAUACAGAGGGUGCAAGCGUUAAUCGGAUUUACUGGGCGUAAAGCGCGCGUAGGUGGCCAAUUAAGUCAAAUGUGAAAUCCCCGAGCUUAACUUGGGAAGUGCAUUCGAUACUGGUUGGCUAGAGUAUGGGAGAGGAUGGUAGAAUUCCAGGUGUAGCGGUGAAAUGCGUAGAGAUCUGGAGGAAUACCGAUGGCGAAGGCAGCCAUCUGGCCUAAUACUGACACUGAGGUGCGAAAGCAUGGGGAGCAAACAGGAUUAGAUACCCCUGUAGUCC